UGUCCAGAAGGGAGGUGAGCCAUGUUCAGGUUUUAGAUAUAGUUCAAAAACCAGAAGACUCGUUGUUGAGCCAGGUCCAGUUGACUCGAAGACUCAAGUCAAUUCAAUAUUUAGUUACAAUAAAUUGAAAAAGGAAGAGAGGUUCAAGCAUGAUGAGGAUCUUGAUUUGCUCUUAUGUUUGCCAGCUCAGCAAAUUCAUGAAAGUUUUGAGAGUCGUCUUCAAUCGAAAGUUUACAAAGUUGUUAAGGUUUUGUGGCAGCCUAACCAAAAUAAAUAAA